UCAAGUGAAGAAGCGCAUACGGUGGAUGCCUUGGCAGUCAGAGGCGAUGAAAGACGUGGUAGCCUGCGAAAAGCUUCGGGGAGUCGGCAAACAGACUGUGAUCCGGAGAUGUCUGAAUGGGGGAACCCAGCCAUCAUAAGAUGGUUAUCUUGUACUGAAUACAUAGGUGCAAGAGGCGAACCAGGGGAACUGAAACAUCUAAGUACCCUGAGGAAAAGAAAUCAACCGAGAUUCCCUUAGUAGUGGCGAGCGAACGGGGACCAGCCCUUAAGUUGUAUUGAGAUUAGCGGAACACUCUGGAAAGGGUGGCCAUAGUGGGUGAUAGCCCUGUACGCGAAAAUCCCUUUGCAAUGAAAUCGAGUAGGACGGGGCACGAGAAACCUUGUCUGAAUAUGGGGGGACCAUCCUCCAAGGCUAAAUACUACUGACUGACCGAUAGUGAACCAGUACCGUGAGGGAAAGGCGAAAAGAACCGCGGAGAGCGGAGUGAAAUAGAUCCUGAAACCGUAUGCGUACAAGCAGUGGGAGCCCACUUUGUUGGGUGACUGCGUACCUUUUGUAUAAUGGGUCAGCGACUUAUUUUCAGUGGCGAGCUUAACCGAAUAGGGGAGGCGUAGCGAAAGCGAGUCUUAAUAGGGCGUCUAGUCGCUGGGAAUAGACCCGAAACCGGGCGAUCUAUCCAUGGGCAGGUUGAAGGUUGGGUAACACUAACUGGAGGACCGAACCGACUACCGUUGAAAAGUUAGCGGAUGACCUGUGGAUCGGAGUGAAAGGCUAAUCAAGCUCGGAGAUAGCUGGUUCUCCUCGAAAGCUAUUUAGGUAGCGCCUCAUGUAUCACUGUAGGGGGUAGAGCACUGUUUCGGCUAGGGGGUCAUCCCGACUUACCAAACCGAUGCAAACUCCGAAUACCUACAAGUGCCGAGCAUGGGAGACACACGGCGGGUGCUAACGUCCGUCGUGAAAAGGGAAACAACCCAGACCGUCAGCUAAGGUCCCAAAGUCAUGGUUAAGUGGGAAACGAUGUGGGAAGGCUUAGACAGCUAGGAGGUUGGCUUAGAAGCAGCCACCCUUUAAAGAAAGCGUAAUAGCUCACUAGUCGAGUCGGCCUGCGCGGAAGAUGUAACGGGGCUCAAACCAUGCACCGAAGCUACGGGUAUCAUCUUUUGAUGAUGCGGUAGAGGAGCGUUCUGUAAGCCUGUGAAGGUGAGUUGAGAAGCUUGCUGGAGGUAUCAGAAGUGCGAAUGCUGACAUGAGUAACGACAAUGGGUGUGAAAAACACCCACGCCGAAAGACCAAGGUUUCCUGCGCAACGUUAAUCGACGCAGGGUUAGUCGGUCCCUAAGGCGAGGCUGAAAAGCGUAGUCGAUGGAAAACAGGUUAAUAUUCCUGUACUUCUGGUUAUUGCGAUGGAGGGACGGAGAAGGCUAGGCCAGCCUGGCGUUGGUUGUCCAGGUUUAAGGUGGUAGGCUGAGAUCUUAGGUAAAUCCGGGAUCUUAAGGCCGAGAGCUGAUGACGAGUGUUCUUUUAGAACACGAAGUGGUUGAUGCCAUGCUUCCAAGAAAAGCUUCUAAGCUUCAGGUAACCAGGAACCGUACCCCAAACCGACACAGGUGGUUGGGUAGAGAAUACCAAGGCGCUUGAGAGAACUCGGGUGAAGGAACUAGGCAAAAUGGCACCGUAACUUCGGGAGAAGGUGCGCCGGUGGAGGUGAAGCAUUUACUGCGUAAGCCCCUGCCGGUCGAAGAUACCAGGCCGCUGCGACUGUUUAUUAAAAACACAGCACUCUGCAAACACGAAAGUGGACGUAUAGGGUGUGACGCCUGCCCGGUGCCGGAAGGUUAAUUGAUGGGGUUAGCGCAAGCGAAGCUCUUGAUCGAAGCCCCGGUAAACGGCGGCCGUAACUAUAACGGUCCUAAGGUAGCGAAAUUCCUUGUCGGGUAAGUUCCGACCUGCACGAAUGGCGUAACGAUGGCGGCGCUGUCUCCACCCGAGACUCAGUGAAAUUGAAAUCGCUGUGAAGAUGCAGUGUAUCCGCGGCUAGACGGAAAGACCCCGUGAACCUUUACUAUAGCUUUGCACUGGACUUUGAAUUUGCUUGUGUAGGAUAGGUGGGAGGCUUUGAAGCGUGGACGCCAGUCUGCGUGGAGCCAACCUUGAAAUACCACCCUGGCAACUUUGAGGUUCUAACUCAGGUCCGUUAUCCGGAUCGAGGACAGUGUAUGGUGGGUAGUUUGACUGGGGCGGUCUCCUCCUAAAGAGUAACGGAGGAGUACGAAGGUGCGCUCAGACCGGUCGGAAAUCGGUCGUAGAGUAUAAAGGCAAAAGCGCGCUUGACUGCGAGACAGACACGUCGAGCAGGUACGAAAGUAGGUCUUAGUGAUCCGGUGGUUCUGUAUGGAAGGGCCAUCGCUCAACGGAUAAAAGGUACUCCGGGGAUAACAGGCUGAUACCGCCCAAGAGUUCAUAUCGACGGCGGUGUUUGGCACCUCGAUGUCGGCUCAUCACAUCCUGGGGCUGAAGCCGGUCCCAAGGGUAUGGCUGUUCGCCAUUUAAAGUGGUACGCGAGCUGGGUUUAGAACGUCGUGAGACAGUUCGGUCCCUAUCUGCCGUGGACGUUUGAGAUUUGAGAGGGGCUGCUCCUAGUACGAGAGGACCGGAGUGGACGAACCUCUGGUGUUCCGGUUGUCACGCCAGUGGCAUUGCCGGGUAGCUAUGUUCGGAAAAGAUAACCGCUGAAAGCAUCUAAGCGGGAAACUUGCCUCAAGAUGAGAUCUCACUGGAACCUUGAGUUCCCUGAAGGGCCGUCGAAGACUACGACGUUGAUAGGUUGGGUGUGUAAGCGCUGUGAGGCGUUGAGCUAACCAAUACUAAUUGCCCGUGAGGCUUGACCAU
rnacentral:rRNA from 1 species